ACCGCCCCGUGCAGCAGGGGGUGCUCCUUGGCGAAGGACAGCGUCUCGUCGGGGAUGUCCCCAGAGGUGACAAUGGCAGCGGCCGACCCCAUCCCCGCACAGCAGCCGGGUCUGGGGACGUCGGAGUACGCAAGGGGACCCCCAGCUCCGCCGCCAUCUCCCGGAAGAAGAAGUAGACGUGCGCUCCGUGGGGCAUCGCGUGGACGAAGUGCGGCUCUGGGGACAGCGCGGCCAUCAGCACCACUGCGUCCCCACAGCCGCAGUGCCCCACGGCCCCGACGGCCCCACGCACCCCGCAGCCAGCGGGAGCUGUACUUGAUGCUGCGCAGCGCCGGGCCGCGCACACUGCGGUAGAUGACGGCGUCGCUCGCCUGGAAGUCGGCCACGGUGGCGGAGUACAGACGGUCGUCUGCGGGAACAAGCGAAGGCGUAGAGGUGGUCCCUGUGGGGCACAGCGGGGGGAGAUGCGGCCGUGCACCGCCGUGCAACAGGAGCACGGAACGGUGCAUGAGAGCACACGAGUGUGCAACGAGAACAUGGAACUUUGCACAAGCGUGUGCAAGCGACGCAGCAAGCCGGCAGACGGUGGGAAACCCACGGGUGACCGACCCCGACCCCAGCCCCAAAAACACCCCGGAAGGCAAAGACCCCAAAGGGACAAAGACCCCAAAGGACAAAGCCAUACAAAUAAAUAGGAUCAGAGGGAAA